GUAAAUAGAUUAGCAAUUUAACACAGCUAGCUAUCAACAAAAAACUUCAAGGAUGAGAUAUUUGCAUAAUAUUCAAACAAAAUAAAUGAAUUCCAACAGGUCUUUUCAUCAUUGUUGUAGUUUAGAAUGCAAUCUAAAAAUCUAUAUCUAUAUUAUUAUGCCCUAAACUAAAAAGUCAAAUUACUUUAAUACCAUUUUUAAACAUCUAACUAUCCUACUUACAAGUCAAACGCUACGCUUAGCAAACCCCAAUCUAACGGAUUCAUACGAAGGGUUGCCUUCUCAGAACAAAUACUAUUACUCAUUCGUAUGAAUAGAUGUGCCCUUUCGGGGAAAAUCCAAAUAGUGGGAUCUCAGAUAAAGAAGAUUGAAAAUGAAGACAAAGAAUCAUAAGUCAAUGAAAACAAGACAAAAAGAGCAGGUGUUAAGUUUGAAAUCCGGCCGAGAAAUAAACGGUCUCACUGGAACUUGACUGGUUUUAGGAGAGUCCUUUGGUCUGGCGAAGUAACUCUCACCAUCAAUCCUUUUGAUAUACAUGUUUCCAGAAUCUGGUGGUCGGAUUCAUUGUUAGUGAAGCCCACGCACCGGCAGAGGAAUUCUGACAUAAUCUGCCUCGACGGCGCGUGAGAGAUCGGUUGGAGACUUGGUUCACUGUUCCUAAGUCACAUCAUUAUUUUCAGCGUGUUUCUAGUGGUUUCUACUCGAACUGACCACGAUUUGAGAAGGCUUUCUUGCUCCUAGAAGUGCUGCUCAUUAACAGUCUCAUCCAAAAGUCCCAGGUUACUGAUUUCCAUCUAAACUUUGUUUCUUCCAUCUUGAUUUGGUCCUUCGCAUCUACCAACCUAUUUUGAGUCUGAAGAUAAUCUAGUAUUUCUGAGUUCUUUUAGUGGUGGAAUAUACUUCAUUAUUCUUGGUUAUAUUUCCUGGUGGAGUAUAUUACUGGUUUGUGUGAUUUGUUGGUGCAUCAUUGGUUCUUUGGUUUGGCCAUAUUUUUGGUGGAGUAUAUCUUUAUUGGCUAUCUGCUUGGAACUUAGUUAAUCUCUUCUUCAAUAUAUUUCGUUAGUUUUAUUAGAAUGACUAUAAACAGUAAGCAAGGAGGAAAUAGUGCUACAACUCCUAGUCCAGCAAUCUUGGUCUCGGAUGAGUUUCUUGAGUUCCUUCAAUAUCAUAAAUCAAUGAAGGAAUCUUCCUCAGUUACUGGUUUUGCUGGGUCAGAUAAGACAUGUCUUAUCACCUCUUCAAAUAAAUGAGUGAUUGAUUCUGGUGCCACAAAUCACAUGACAGGUAAUCCGAAUGUUUUUUCUAGCUUUCGAUCACACAAAACACCCUCUUCAGUUACUGUAGCUGAUGGAACAACUUGUAGCAGUGUUGGAUCUGGGACUGUUAAACCAACUUCCUCUAUUACCCUGUCAUCUGUAUUAAGUCUACCAAACUUGGCCUUUAAUUUGAUUUAUGUUAGUAAAAUCACUAGAGACCUUAAUUGUUGUGUAGCGUUCUUUCCCAAUCAUUGUUUGUUUCUAGAUCUUAUGACGAAACAAAUUACUGGUAAAGGAUAUUAUCUGGUGAUCUCUAUAUCCUCGAUGAAUGGGAGCCACAGUCUAUUGCAUGCUUCAGUAUCGUGUCUCCGUUUGAAGCACAUUGUCGAUUGGGGCAUCCCUCUCUGCCUUUGUUGAAGAAGCUCUGUCCUCAGUUUCAGAAUAUUUCUUUAUUGGAUUGUGAGUCAUGUCAAUUUGCAAAACAUCAUCGCAUCUCGUUAGGUCCAAGGGUUAAUAAGCGAGCUAAGUCAGCUUUUGAGUUAGUUCAUUCUGAUGUUUGGGGACCAUGUCCUGUUGUUUCUAAAACCGGGCACAAGUAUUUUGUCACUUUUGUAGAUGAUUUUUCCUGGAUGACUUGGAUUUACUUUAUGAAGAGUCGCUCUGAAGUGUGUACUCACUUUUCUGCCUUCUGUGCUGAAGUCAAAACUCAAUUCAAUACUUCAGUGCGUAUUCUAAGGAGUGAUAACGCUAAAGUAUACAUGUCAGAGUUAUUUCAGUCCUACAUGAGACAACAUGGUGUACUACAUCAGUCUUCAUGUGUUGAUACACCCUCUCAAGAUGGAGUUGCUUAGAGGAAGAAUAGGCAUCUACUUGAGACAACUCGGGCACUUUUGUUCCAAAUGAAGGUUCCUAAACAGUUCUGGGCUGAUGCGGUCUCCACGACUUGCUUCUUGAUUAAUCGCAUGCCACCUACUGUGCUUGGUGGCAAUAUGCCUUACAUUGUUCUUUUUCCAAACAAGUCAUUAUUUCCCGUGGAACCUAAGGUGUUUGGAAGCACAUGUUAUGUUCGAGAUGUUCGACCAUCUGUUACCAAGCUGGAUCCCAAGGUGUUGAAGUGUGUUUUUUCUUGGUUAUUCUCGCCUUCAGAAGGGGUAUUGGUGUUAUUCUACUGAACUUGGCAAAUAUCUGGUGUCAACUGAUGUAGUGUUUUCAGAGACUAUACCAUUCUUUUAUGCACCUCCCAUCUCUACAAGUCAGGGGAGGAAGAUGAGUGGCUAGUAUAUCCGAUUACCCGUACUUUGACAGAACAAUCAGAUGAUGUUUCUCCAUCUCCUAGCUCUUCUAUCGAGCACCAAUCGACUAUUCUGCCUUCAACACCUGCUCCAACUGUGUUAGCAAGACCACCAAUUGUUCAAGUUUACUCGCGGAGGCGAGAGACAAAUGAUACAGGUCCUGCAUCAGUUCCUUCAUCCUCUGAUCCUCUUCCGCCUGAUCCUCCAGAAGAGACCUUCCCAUUGCUUUACGCAAAGGUACACUUGCAAAUCCACAUAUUCUAUUGCUAAUUUUGUUUCCUACGAUCACUUAUCCCCUGCGUCUAGAUCUUUGAUUGCGUCUCUAGACUCCAUUUCUAUACCCAAAAUAGUGAAAGAGGCUUUGAAUCAUCCUGGAUGGUCUGAAGCCAUGCUUGAGGAAAUACAUGCCUUAGAGGAAAACCAUACUUGGGAUUUAGUGAAUUUACCUAGUGGAAAGAAAGCAGUGGGAUGCAAAUGGGUCUUCGCUGUCAAAAUUAAUCCAGAUGGUUCUGUAGCGAGACUUAAGGCCAGACUUGUGGCCAAAGGGUAUGCUCAGACUUAUGGAGUAGAUUAUUCUGACACCUUCUCUCCGGUUGCCAAACUUACUUCUGUCCGCUUGUUCAUUUCUCUAGCAGCUUCUGAGAAUUGGCCUUUGCAUCAAUUGGACAUUAAGAAUGCCUUUCUUCAUGGUGAUCUUCAUGAAGAGGUGUAUAUGGAGCAACCACCUGAUUUUGUUGCUCGGGGGAGUACGGGAAGGUCUGUCAUUUGAAGAAGUCCUUGUAUGGCUUGAGCCCGGGCUUGGUUUGGAAAAUUUAGUGAGGUAGUUCAAUAAUCGGACUGAAAAAGAGCAAAUGUGAUCAUUCACAUUCUACAGGCAAUCAACAGCUGGAUCUAUUCUCCUGGUUGUAUGUGUUGAUGACAUUGUUAUUACAAGAAGUGAUUAUGCAGGAAUCUCUUCUCUCAAAUCUUUCUUGCAUACUAAGUUUCAUACGAAAGACUUGGGACAACUGAAAUAUUACUUGGGAGUGGAAGUAAAUAAAUGCAAGAAGGGGAUUUUUCUAUCUCCGAGAAAGUAUAUUCUUGAC